CAGCAGCCGCGGUAAUACGGAGGGAGCUAGCGUUGUUCGGAAUUACUGGGCGUAAAGCGCACGUAGGCGGCUUUGUAAGUCAGAGGUGAAAGCCUGGAGCUCAACUCCAGAACUGCCUUUGAGACUGCAUCGCUUGAAUCCAGGAGAGGUGAGUGGAAUUCCGAGUGUAGAGGUGAAAUUCGUAGAUAUUCGGAAGAACACCAGUGGCGAAGGCGGCUCACUGGACUGGUAUUGACGCUGAGGUGCGAAAGCGUGGGGAGCAGACAGGAUUAGAUACCCCAGUAGUCCCUGUCUCUUAUAC
rnacentral:rRNA from 1 species